rnacentral:lncRNA from 1 species
AAAACACUUAUAUGUAGCACGUAUUGAGCAACAGAAACCUGUAUCGGGAGUAGUAGCAGUAGUAGAAAACUUCAUUUGGUGUUUUGUAACAAAGUCCCAGAGGGUGGAGCCCUCAGUCCAGAGCCCCAUUUGUUGCUGCUAUCCGACUGGCCCGGUCGAUCAGGUAUCGCUGGUCGUCGAAGGAUGUGCUGGAAAG